rnacentral:rRNA from 1 species
GACGAACGCUGGCGGCGUGCUUAACACAUGCAAGUCGAGCGAGGCCCUCCCUUCGGGGAGGUGUCCUAGCGGCGAACGGGUGAGUAACACGUGGGCAACCUGCCCUCAGCUCUGGGAUAACCCCGGGAAACCGGAGCUAAUACCGGAUACGACUUCGGGAGACAUCUCCUGAGGUGGAAAGAAUUUCGGCUGAGGAUGGGCCCGCGGCCUAUCAGCUUGUUGGUGGGGUAAUGGCCCACCAAGGCGACGACGGGUAGCCGGCCUGAGAGGGCGACCGGCCACACUGGGACUGAGACACGGCCCAGACUCCUACGGGAGGCAGCAGUGGGGAAUAUUGCGCAAUGGGCGAAAGCCUGACGCAGCGACGCCGCGUGAGGGAUGAAGGCC